GACGAACGCUGGCGGCGUGCUUAACACAUGCAAGUCGAACGGAAAGGCCCUGCUUUUGUGGGGUGCUCGAGUGGCGAACGGGUGAGUAACACGUGAGUAACCUGCCCUUGACUUUGGGAUAACUUCAGGAAACUGGGGCUAAUACCGGAUAGGAGCUCCUGCUGCAUGGUGGGGGUUGGAAAGUUUCGGCGGUUGGGGAUGGACUCGCGGCUUAUCAGCUUGUUGGUGGGGUAGUGGCUUACCAAGGCUUUGACGGGUAGCCGGCCUGAGAGGGUGACCGGCCACAUUGGGACUGAGAUACGGCCCAGACUCCUACGGGAGGCAGCAGUGGGGAAUAUUGGACAAUGGGCGGAAGCCUGAUGCAGCAACGCCGCGUGCGGGAUGACGGCCUUCGGGUUGUAAACCGCUUUCGCCUGUGACGAAGCGUGAGUGACGGUAAUGGGUAAAGAAGCACCGGCUAACUACGU
rnacentral:rRNA from 1 species